UUCUGGAUUGUCACAGGUGCUAUAGGACAUCACCAGACCCUCCCAGUAUCAGCUGAGUCAUCUUUCCUUGAUUGCAACCCUGUGUGUCAUCCUCUGCCCGGCCGGCCAGCUCGCCGUGCAGAUCUGAGCUGCAAACGAUAAAGCAGAGCCCAAGGUGACUUCCCGGAUUUGGAAUUUCUCCUCCAAGCCCAAGGACGGCUUAGAGACCCGGCACAUGCAGACAGGCUCCCGACAGUCGCUGCCUUACUCUUCACCCCUAAGUACUAUUUUUGAGGUGUUAAUACUAACACAGAAUUUGCCAAACUGAUAUUAGUUAUGUUUAUGUGAUUUUCCUCCACUAAAUCGUAAGACUCUGAAGAGAACACUUCUUAAAAUCCAUUGGUACAUACUUUGCAUGAUGCAAAUAAAUAAUGCAUAGUUAAACGGGGAGAGCUUCGCUAUUUUUAUUGCCCCAAAGUCUUAAGGAACUAUGAAAAGUUUGUAUUGGGCUAGGGGUGCAGUCAGUUGGUAGAGUGUUUACCUAUCACACUUGAAGCCCCAGGUUCAAUCCCCAGUGUGUAAUAAACCACAGACGAUGCACACCUGUGUUCCCAGCACUUAGGAGGUAGAGGCAGCAGGCUCAGAUGGCUGAGGUUAUUCUU